rnacentral:rRNA from 1 species
CUGGGAAUAAACCUUUUUACGUGUAAGAAGCUGAAUGUACCAGAAGAAUAAGGAUCGGCUAACUCCGUGCCAGCAGCCGCGGUAAUACGGAGGAUCCAAGCGUUAUCCGGAUUUAUUGGGUUUAAAGGGUGCGUAGGCGGCCUGUUAAGUCAGAGGUGAAAGACGGUAGCUCAACUAUCGCAGUGCCUUUGAUACUGAUGGGCUUGAAUGGACUAGAGGUAGGCGGAAUGAGACAAGUAGCGGUGAAAUGCAUAGAUAUGUCUCAGAACACCGAUUGCGAAGGCAGCUUACUAUGGUUUUAUUGACGCUGAGGCACGAAAGCGUGGGGAUCAAACAGGAUUAGAUACCCUGGUAGUCCACGCCCUAAACGAUGAAUACUCGCUGUUAGCGAUAUACAGUUAGCGGCUAAGCGAAAGCGUUAAGUAUUCCACCUGGGGAGUACGCCCGCAAGGGUGAAACUCAAAGGAAUUGACGGGGGCCCGCACAAGCGGAGGAGCAUGUGGUUUAAUUCGAUGAUACGCGAGGAACCUUACCCGGGCUUGAAAGUUAGUGAAUUAUCUAGAGAUAGAUAAGUGAGCAAUCACACGAAACUAGGUGCUGCAUGGCUGUCGUCAGCUCGUGCCGUGAGGUGUUGGGUUAAGUCCCGCAACGAGCGCAACCCCUAUGUUUAGUUGCCAGCAUGUAAUGAUGGGGACUCUAAACAGACUGCCUGUGCAAACAGAGAGGAAGGAGGGGACGACGUCAAGUCAUCAUGGCCCUUACGUCCGGGGCUACACACGUGCUACAAUGGAUGGUACAGAGGGCAGCUACAUAGCAAUAUGAUGCGAAUCUCACAAAGCCAUU